AAAAGAAUAAUAGAAACACCAUAAUGAAGAAAAUAAAGACCGUGUAGCCUAUACUGAACUUAAAAUUCAUUUUCUCAUUUUUCCUAAAAUUUUGUAAAAUGAAAGCUUAAAGUUAACAAUCAUCAGAGAUUUAAGACUGACUUUCACUAAAAUAGCGGGUAUUGGAGUGGGUGAAGAUGGCGGAAUGAUGAGCAGCCCAGAGAGGGCCUCUUUGAGGUGUGGUAAUCAGGCACUGAAAUAAAGCAACGUGAGGAAGAGAAGGACGGAAAUGGGUCCCCUGGACUCAUGAAAGAUCUGAAGGGAGAAUUAAAGCCCAUAGGGAGAGUGAAGAGAGUGUCCCUAACAAAGAAGGAGGCAACAGGCAGCACCUCCUACCUGAGCCAGGCCUCUCAAGGGUACCUGAAACCUGCAGUCCAACCGUGACUACCGGCGAGAUCUCCAUGGAGAUACGCACCAGUGGAACGGAGCGGUGAACGCAGCAGGCAGCAGUGGUUGGUGAGUUGUUGGGGUUUGGCCAUCCCCCAGGAUAGAGAGAUUGGCCGGGAGCCAUCUUGGAGAAGGGCAGACUGAGCUCGGAACUCACAAUGGCUGCCGGGGGCUCCAUCAAGUGGCUUCCAGUGCCAGUGUCAGAGUUCAAACCCGCAGGAGGUCAGGGAGCUCAGUUUGCCCUCACGGGUUGCGGGUGGGAGUGAGCAGAAUGUUGGAGACCCCACAGGUCCAGUUCCAGCCUCACAGCCAAAAACCAGCCUGAACGUAAGUGGAAUUAAAGCCUCUCUCACCUGUUCUCCUAGUGACUCCUGGCAUGGGGGCAACCUCUGCAUAUUUCAAUGUCAUUUCCUCCAACUGGGCUGCUAAUGGG
rnacentral:lncRNA from 1 species